rnacentral:pre_miRNA from 1 species
UGUCGUAUCUGCAUUUGUUUUGUAUCUGCAUUCGGAGAAAGCUACAAUGCAGACGUCCCCUCUUGAGUGAAAUGCUGACAACUCAAGAGGGGACGUCUGCAUUGUAGCUUUCUCCGAAUGCAGAUACAAAACAAAAGCAGAUACGACAG